rnacentral:lncRNA from 1 species
GCAUCUCGUCGCUGGAGGCGGAGGCCAUCUUCUCCGGCGCCGGCGGGCAGUGGCGCGGCGGCGGCGGCCUCGACGACCGUGACCUCUCCGCCAUGCCGGCGGCGGCCAACACCUCGUCGGGCGGCUCCGGCUCUCCCGGCGGCGGCGGCAGGAAGAUGAGCCACAACGCGUACGAGCGCGACCGCCGCAAGCAGCUCAACGAGCUCUACUCCUCCCUCCGCUCCCUCCUCCCCGACGCCGACCACACAGUACGAAACCAAUCAAAUCAAAUUCAAACCAUGCCACCAUGGAUCUUUGAUCCUGAUGCAUCUCUGCUUGGAAUCCUGACGCAUCUGGUGAUGAUUUGACUAACUGCAG